ensembl:lncRNA uncharacterized LOC107675490
CUUUAGCUUUAAAUGUAUUCAGGUGAGUCUCAUCAGUGAUCACCAUUGUACUGAUCAACAAUAUUAGCAUUUCAGUGAGCCCACAUUAGUAGGCUAACUUUGAGCAGGUGUGGCACGAAAGCACAAGUGCGUUAGUCCUUAAAACAUGUCUCCUCAAUACUAUCUGAGACUGGCUUUGGUUGGUUUGACUCUUUCUGUUGUGGGAUGUUUGCCUGAUGCGUCAAUCGUGCCUUUAGGAAACAUCUCAGAUGAUUCAAAGAUCAAAAUGUUGGAAAAUUUCAGAAGUGUUAGUCCACCCAUUCAAAGUCCAGUAAGACUUCAAGGGAACGUAGAACAAUUUAACAGCAAAUAUCAGCUACCCAGGAUCAACUCAGCCUCAUACAGCCAGAGAAAUGAUGGCAAUGCAAAAAAUCCAAGCUUCAGCUCCACUGACAUAAGAGCUUCUGCAGAUGUUAUCUAUUACCAUUCAGUCCCAAAUAAAGUCCAGUCCAAUACAAAUCGCAGAAAUAAUCCUGUUGAAUUUUCAAGUGUCAAAUUUAAUGAUGGCAUUGAUGCCAAAAGAAGCUAUACUUUGCAAACAGUCCGACAGGAACAAAAUCCUUUAGACUUUAAAGGGAGCCAAAUGAGCUCUAGUGAUCCUAAUAUGGCCCCAAGGCUAGUGAGGAAAAAUGGUGGAAUGCAUGCAGCAAAUGUGUAUAGAUCUGGCUCAUUUGGAUAUCAACAUAUUUUGAAAUCAGAAAUGCCCUCAGAAAGUUCACGACCAUUACGACUCAAUGAACCCUAUUUGAGGGAAAAUAUUCCAACUAAUUAUAUGUCUAGAAGCUCAACUGUGAACCAAAUGAGGCACAAAAGUGAUGGAAACAUGCUGUUUGGUCAUUUACUUCAAAACCGCGGCCAGAAUCAAAAAGUGCUGAGGAAUACAUCUCCCUCAAUUGUAAGAGCAAAUCAAUUACCACAUGCUUUUUCUGCUGGGACUGGAGUAAUUUCUCAAAUUUCCUACGAGAAUACGAGGGAUGUAGCUCUUUCCAAGGUGUACAAACCUCCAACAAUCCCAACACCAGUAUCUCCUGGCUUUACGAGAUCAAAUUCAAAUAGAGGUCAUGGCAUCCUUCCGUUUAAAAAAUCUCUCAUGUUUUCUUUUCAACAUGAUCACGUCAAGCUGCCUAGUUCUGAAAGGGUUGCCAGUCCCAGUACAAAAUCAGCCACGAGCAGCUACACUUUCAAGGACAUUCACUUGACAUCUACACAAAAUGAUUACCAAAAUAGGGGACAAAGUAGUCAGAAUCUUGCGCCCAUUCAAACAUUUCCCAGUCAAAAGGAGUAUGGUAAUUUGGCUACAGGUAUAUCUGCCUUCAGGCCUUCAGUGACCAAUAAUGCCCGGUCUUCCUUUCUAUCAAAUGAGAACAGUGGCAUCCAGAUGUCUGCGCUACUCGACCGGUCAAAACAAAACACAGACUUGACCCCACAAAUGCAGUUUGCAAAGAACACCAUGUUACUUUCAGAAUGGGCUAAAAAUAUGAACCUACCAUACCCAACAAAUCAUUCAUUAAAGAAGCCAAAUCAGCAUAACAUCCGAAAUGGGACAGAUCUGAAUUCCUUCGGCCAAAGUGCAGUGCAAUCAUUAUUCUUUAAAAAUGAUCCUGCGCCAAGUCUCGUGCCUGGUAAAACAAUUGAGAGCGUCCACAGCGUUAGUCCGUCUGUGUCUGGCACUCAAGGCACAUCAGAAAAUUCAGGUAUGUCUAGUAGCCGAAACAGACCGUAUUAUCUAACUUCUAAAAUGCCAUAUGCUUUCAAAGGUUUCACAUUUGUCCCUACAUUGCAGACAUCUCUACAAAAAACAGAAAUGCACUCUGGCCAAAAACCUCUCUCAAACUCUGUGCAAUAUGCCCCUGCUCGUCCACAUACCACCUUAAGUGCACUCGCUCAAAAGCCCUUGAUACGUGAGAGCUACCAGAAAAUGCUUUUUCAGUUCAAGGACAUUGAAACAAGCCAAGAAAAACAAAUUUAUCUGGAUCAGACAGAUUCUUUUGAUAAUGGACCUCCGCAUGAAACCGUCUCUUCUACUGUAGGUGCAAGUAACCCGAUGUCUAAUGCUCCAAAGCACCAUGUUGUUAAAGGUCAAGCUGUAGUGAUGAAAACAUCUCUGAGCGGCACGAAUACUUCAGCAAGUCUUACAAAUAAUGGAGCUGUUUUCCUUCAGAACCACCCUAAAAUAGGGUACGGUGGGUUGACGGUUGAUGAAGUUCAGUCAAAAACAUCUCAGAGGUGGACUUCAAGUAGGCUUGCUUCAGCCCAGCACACUGAAUCUAACCAAGGCGAAAUUCCAGCAGUGAGAUCCUCAAACACCAGUUUUGUUGGACCCAACUCAUACGACGCAUCCAUAAAAUCUAGAAACAGUCAUGAGAAUCCCACAUCUGAGCUUAAGUCUUCUCUUAUGAACAAAGUGACUGGCUAUCCUCAAAUACACAAUGCUGUUAUCCAGCCACUUCGCAGGUAUAGCUUGAAGGAACAUGAAGGUCUGUUGAAUCCAACGAAGGAAGUUAAAGACGGAAACACUGCUGGAAUAACACAAUCAAAUGUUACUGAAUAUUACAGUCCCAUAAGAUUGAGACCGACAAGCAGCACUGUGAUUAGUAGGUGGGUCGAAGUGACUCAAGAAGGAAAGGGAUCUGAAGAAAAUACAAACCACCAGAAUGUGGUCCCAACCUACCAAUCUGCAAUAUAUAGGUCUGCUGACAUUAAUAGUCAUAAAACUAAUAGCUCUGCAGGGCUCACUUACCAGUCACCUAUAUACAGAUCUGCUAUAAAAACUUCUGGCAAAGCUAACGUCAUACAAGCCCAGGGAUCAAGACCCACAAGCAGCUUUGUAGUCGGAAGGUACAUUAAUACAUUUGAUAAAACCUCAACCAAAUCAAACCUCAACUUAUCUUCUACAAAAACAGGCCUAAACGAUUAUAAACCAGUUCAGUUUUCAGAUAUAGCUGGUAGCGCCUCCUUCACUAACGCAGCUGACACCACGGCAAAGAAAGAAGUGGAUCCUGAAAGUAAGCAAAACAGCUCCAAUUCAACAUCAGUGAUGGAGGAAAGUUUUAAAGAGCUGCUUUUUGACAACUCCAUGAUCUCAGCCUUACAAAAUGAAACCGAUGAAAGUACAGUGGAUUUAAGUUUCCCUGAUAUUAUGCCAACUGCUGCUAUAGACUUCACCACAGAAUCUCAGCUGCCAUUUCCAGAAGAAUAUACUCUACCUCAACCAACUGUCUAUUCCUCUGAGUCACAGCUGGAUCUUGGGAGUCUUACUACACCUACAGCAGAGGGUACCGAUCCACUUUUUGAGGGAACGUUGAUACUCAAUACAACUUUGCUGGUCAAACUGACAUCAGAUUGAGAUCUGCCUCUUCAAGUUUUCUACUGUAUGUACUCCAAUGGCAACCGUCAUUAACACCAACAGACUAAAAUGUGAAGUGUUUUUCUCUUCUGUGUUUAGAUGGCACCAGAUCUGUCGUCACAUUCACUUGCAUUAAAUUUGUGAGUUCGGAGUUUUGUAGUUUGUGCUUUACUUCCCCUUGGUAAUCCUUAUUUUGGAAGAAAAAAUAUGGAUAGUAUUAACAGUAUUUUUUCCCUCCCCAAGCAUAACAAUAUAACAAAUUUUAAUACAGUAAACAUUGCAUCCAUAAGUUUUUGUCAAAGAGGCUUUAUGUAAUUUUACAUAAAUCGUGAAAGUAGUUUCCUGAUGUAGGGAUGGGCUCACACACACUUUCUAUUUCCUUCUUCUUGCUGACCCCCACCCCAACAGUUUAGUCUCCAAAGCCCAUGGAUCAGAAUUCAGUUUGCUAGAAAUUGUUUUUUUCUGAGUGCUACUGACAAACUAUUACUUUAAUUGUACAGGCCAAUGAAAAGCUUUCUAAAACGUAAUCACGUGUUGGACUUUAUUUUUAUUUAUUUAUUUUUCUC